rnacentral:rRNA from 1 species
UGGGGAAUAUUGGACAAUGGGCGAAAGCCUGAUCCAGCCAUGCCGCGUGUGUGAAGAAGGUCUUCGGAUUGUAAAGCACUUUAAGUUGGGAGGAAGGGCAGUAAGCGAAUACCUUGCUGUUUUGACGUUACCGACAGAAUAAGCACCGGCUAACUCUGUGCCAGCAGCCGCGGUAAUACAGAGGGUGCAAGCGUUAAUCGGAAUUACUGGGCGUAAAGCGCGCGUAGGUGGUUCGUUAAGUGGAAUGUGAAAGCCCCGGGCUCAACCUGGGAACUGCAUCCAAAACUGGCGAGCUAGAGUAGGGCAGAGGGUGGUGGAAUUUCCUGUGUAGCGGUGAAAUGCGUAGAUAUAGGAAGGGACACCAGUGGCGAAGGCGACCACCUGGGCUCAUACUGACACUGAGGUGCGAAAGCGUGGGGAGCAAACAGG